UUUGACCGUCACAUUUUAGAUUCAACGAAAAUGAAGCCCAAACUAGGGUUAAAAUGAUGGAAGUAUUGCAACAUCCCUGCAAGCCCAAUGAAUCAGAAUUCCAAGCUAAGCCAUACCAUAUGGCCUGUAUUUAUUCGUGCUUGGAUAAAUUAUGCUACACCAUGCAACAAAAAAUGUGUCAUCUAUGUCUAUCAUGUCAUGGUCAAGCGUUACUUAAAAUUUUCAUUCUAUAGUUUCGAAAUUGAAACGACAUGAC
rnacentral:lncRNA from 1 species